GAUGAACGCUGGCGGCGUGCCUAAUACAUGCAAGUCGAGCGAACGGACGAGAAGCUUGCUUCUCUGAUGUUAUCGGCGGACGGGUGAGUAACACGUGGAUAACCUACCUAUAAGACUGGGAUAACUUCGGGAAACCGGAGCUACGACCGAAUGAUAUUUUGAACCUCAUGGUUCAAAAGUGAAAGACGCUCUUUCUGUCACUUAUAGAUUGCUCCGCGUUGAAUUAGCUAGUUGGUAAGGUAACUGCUUACCAAGGCAACGAUGCAUAGCCGACCUGAGAGGGUGAUCGGACAGCCGGGAACUGAGAAAGGGUACAGACUCCUACGGGAGGCAGCAGUAGGGAAUCUUCCGCAAGGGGCGAAAGCCGGACGGAGCAACGCGGCGUGAGUGAUGAAGGUCUUCGGAUCGUAAAACUCUGUUAUUAGGGAAGAACAUAUGUGUAAGUAACUGUGCACAUCUUGACGGUACCGAAUCAGAAAGCCACGGCUAACUACGUG
rnacentral:rRNA from 1 species